AUGCUUGUCUCAAAGAUUAAGCCAUGCAUGUCUAAGUAUAAACAACUUUAUACUGUAAAACUGCGAACGGCUCAUUAUAUCAGCAAUAAUUUAUUUGAUGAUUUCUUACUACAUGGAUAACUGUAGUAAUUCUAGAGCUAAUACAUGCGCAAAGUCCUAACUCGCGAGGGGAGGGAUGUAUUUAUUAGAUACAAAACCAAUGCGGGUUCUGCCCGCCAUUGUGUUGAAUCAUAGUAACUUAUCGAACGCCAUAGCCUUGUGCUGGGCGUAGAUCAUUCAAAUUUCUGCCCUAUCAGCUUUCGACGGUAGUGUAGUGGACUACCGUGGCGUUAACGGGUAACGGGGAAUA
rnacentral:rRNA from 1 species